AGAGUUUGAUCAUGGCUCAGGACGAACGCUGGCGGCGUGCCUAACACAUGCAAGUCAACGAGAAAGGGGUAGCAAUAUCCCGAGUACAGUGGCGCACGGGUGAGUAACACGUAGGUAAUCUGCCAUCAGGACGGGGACAACCCCGAGAAAUCGGGGCUAAUACCCGGUAAUGCAGCGGCACCGCAUGGUGACAGUUGUUAUAGGCCCGCAAGGGCGCCUGAUGAUGAACCUGCGUCCCAUUAGGUAGUUGGCGGGGUAACGGCCCACCAAGCCUGCGAUGGGUAGCUGGUCUGAGAGGAUGGCCAGCCACACUGGAACUGAGACACGGUCCAGACUCCUACGGGAGGCAGCAGUGAGGAAUAUUGCGCAAUGGCCGAAAGGCUGACGCAGCGACGCCGCGUGAGGGAUGAAGUCCGUUAGGAUGUAAACCUCUUUUGCAGGGGAUGAAUCUGCCGCUACAGGCGGCAGCCGACCGUACCCUGCGAAUAAGGAUCGGCUAACUACGUGCCAGCAGCCGCGGUAAUACGUAGGAUCCGAGCGUUGUCCGGAAUUACUGGGUGUAAAGGGCGUGUAGGUGGGUCUCUAAGUCAAUGGUGAAAUCCUGCGGCUCAACCGCAGAACUGCCGUCGAUACUGGAGAUCUUGAGUGCGGAAGAGGGAAACGGAAUUCAUGGUGUAGCGGUGAAAUGUGUAGAUAUCAUGAAGAACACCGGUUGCGAAGGCGGUUUCCUGGUCCGUUACUGACACUGAGGCGCGAAAGCGUGGGGAGCAAACAGGAUUAGAUACCCUGGUAGUCCACGCCUUAAACGAUGGGUACUAGGUGUUGGGCCGCAAGGCUCAGUGCCAACGCAAACGCAUUAAGUACCCCACCUGGGGAGUACGAUCGCAAGGUUGAAACUCAAGGAAUUGACGGGGGCUCGCACAAGCAGUGGAGCAUGUGGUUCAAUUCGAUGCAACGCGGAAGAAUCUUUACCUGGGUUUGAAAGGCCGGUGAC
rnacentral:rRNA from 1 species